rnacentral:misc_RNA from 1 species
UUUAUAAGGUUUUAACAUUAGAUAUUUCAAUUUUGAGUUAAAAAACAUCAAAAUGCUUAAACCGUUCUUUGAUAAACACUAAUCAGUCGAAACUGAUUUGCUCGAAAGCGGUUUUACAAAGAAAAGAUUUUGAUAAAACAAAGGGUGGGAGUUGUCUGUGUUACCAGACUAAACUCAGUAAUGAUCCUUCCGCAGGUUCACCUACGGAAA